rnacentral:tRNA from 1 species
GCCAGGUUAGCUUAGUGGGUAGAGCACAAGACUCUUAUGCCGCCUGUCGCAGGUUCGAGCCCUUCAUUGGGCA